CGCGUAGGUGGUCUGUCAAGUCGGGGUGAAAUCUUUCGGCUCAACCGGAAAACUGCCUUCGAUACUGACAGGCUGGAGGGAGGUAGGGGUUGCGGGAACUACCAGUGGAGCGGUGAAAUGCGUUGAUAUUGGUAGGAACGCCGGUGGCGAAAGCGCGCAACUGGACCUUUUCUGACACUGAGGCGCGAAAGCUAGGGGAGCAAACGG
rnacentral:rRNA from 1 species